UAAAUCCCGCUAAAUGGCGUCGAAAUUGCGCCAUCUGUUGAUGGUAGAAUAUACUUAAGUUCGUUGGUUCUAGACUGGACUGCAGCUACCAGAAUCCCCGUGGCCACUUGCUAGUGCUGAUGGGAUAUGUUUUUUUUAGGAGGAAGGCGCACGGUUGUGCAAGCGAACAAAAGGAGGAACGGCUGUCUAGUGCUGUUAUGGUUAUACAAAAACCUCAAGCAGCUCCGUGUGUUUUUUAAUAAAAGGAGAAGACGUGUAAAAACAGAAGAUUGCACCAGUUAUGAAUUUCUAAAUAUUUUACCUCUGCUAUUCGAUAAUGAUAUUCAAAUUAAUUUUUUAAAAUACUGAAGGGACUACUCGUUUGUAUAAGACAAAAGUUAGCAGCAUCAACUCUGCGUCUUCCAAGGAUGCUUCGCUCAUCUCCUCAGACUGCUCGUCAUCAUCUUUUUCUUCCUGUGCUGUCCUCUUUACACCCCUCUGCUUUGAAAGGGCUGCUGCAUAACGUAUGUUGUACAUGUUAAAGUCACACCUGUACAGGGAAAACGCAAGUGUGUGUAAGUGUUACUUACAUUUGAGUUUGAUUGUCAGGUUUUAGCUGGGGAACUUUUAAGCCGUUGUUGUAUGAAUUCCUUUUUUAUUUGUAUUUACUUUGGUAGUUAAUUGGGAAUGAUGAUACUUACAGUUUUGAAAGAUUGUCGGAAUGUCUCUGAAUGCUCUUCUGCAGUGCCUGCAGGGUAGACAGUAUAGCUCCCGACCUGUGCCCCAAGUGAAUUGUGUAGACUUUCAGAAUUUUACAAACAUUUAUUAAAUGCAGUAAACUGUGAGAGAGAGA